UACGGAGGAUCCGAGCGUUAUCCGGAUUUAUUGGGUUUAAAGGGUGCGUAGGUUGUUUGAUAAGUCAGCGGUGAAAUUUUGCAGCUCAACUGUAAACCUGCCGUUGAAACUGUCAGACUAGAGUGUAAACGAGGUAGGCGGAAUGCGUGGUGUAGCGGUGAAAUGCAUAGAUAUCACGCAGAACUCCGAUUGCGAAGGCAGCUUACUAAGCUACAACUGACACUGAGUCACGAAAGCGUGGGUAGCAAAC
rnacentral:rRNA from 1 species